rnacentral:rRNA from 1 species
UGGGGGACAACCGUGGGAAACUACGGCUAAUACCGCAUGAUCCCUGAGGGGCAAAGGCGAAAGUCGCCUGAGGAGGAGCCUGCGUCUGAUUAGGUAGUUGGUGGGGUAAAGGCCUACCAAGCCUGCGAUCAGUAGCUGGUCUGAGAGGAUGAUCAGCCACACUGGGACUGAGACACGGCCCAGACUCCUACGGGAGGCAGCAGUGGGGAAUAUUGGACAAUGGGCGAAAGCCUGAUCCAGCAAUGCCGCGUGGAUGAAGAAGGUCUUCGGAUUGUAAAGUCCUUUUGGCGGGGACGAUGAUGACGGUACCCGCAGAAU